rnacentral:rRNA from 1 species
UACGUAGGGGGCUAGCGUUGUCCGGAAUCAUUGGGCGUAAAGCGCGUGUAGGCGGUCCGGUAAGUCCGCUGUGAAAGUCGAGGGCUCAACCCUCGAAUGCCGGUGGAUACUGUCGGGCUUGAGUACGGGAGAGGCGAGUGGAAUUCCUGGUGUAGCGGUGGAAUGCGUAGAGAUCCGGAAGAACACCGGUGGCGAAGGCGGCCCGCUGGGCAACUGCUGACACUGAUGCGCGACAGCGUGGGGAGCAAACAGG